rnacentral:rRNA from 1 species
GACAGCAGUAGCCGCGGUAUACGUAGGGCGCAAGCGUUGUCCGGAAUUAUUGGGCGUAAAGAGCUCGUAGGCGGUCUGUCGCGUCUGGUGUGAAAUCCCGAGGCUCAACCUCGGGCUUGCAUCGGGUACGGGCAGACUAGAGUGCGGUAGGGGAGACUGGAAUUCCUGGUGUAGCGGUGGAAUGCGCAGAUAUCAGGAGGAACACCGAUGGCGAAGGCAGGUCUCUGGGCCGCAACUGACGCUGAGGAGCGAAAGCAUGGGGAGCGAACAGGAUUAGAUACCCCCGUAGUCCCUGUCUCUUAUACA